rnacentral:rRNA from 1 species
GACGUAGGCACCAAGCGUUGUCCGGAUUUAUUGGGCGUAAAGAGCUCGUAGGCGGUUCAGUAAGUCGGGUGUGAAAACUCAGGGCUCAACCCUGAGCUGCCACCCGAUACUGCUGUGACUUGAGUCUGGUAGGGGAGUGGGGAAUUCCUGGUGUAGCGGUGAAAUGCGUAGAUAUCGGGAGGAACACCUGUGGCGAAAGCGGCUCUCUGGACCACAACUGACGCUGAGGCGCGAAAGCUAGGGGAGCAAACAGG